GAGUACUGAAUAUGAUUGUUCAUGAACUUCGCGAUGAAAAAAUCACGGCGACAGAAUAUCAUGUUUAUAUGUCAGGAUUGCGGAGAUUUCCUUCUGUUAAUUUCUCCAAAUCAAAUUUUCUUUCU
ensembl:ncRNA T18H9.8 ncRNA